rnacentral:misc_RNA from 1 species
UCUCCGUAGGUGAACCUGCGGAGGGAUCAUUACAGAUUUCUCUCCCCCACGGGUCGACCUCCCGCGCACUGUUAUCGUUACUGUCGUUUCUUUGGCGGGCCGCCGGGUCCCCGCCCGCCGUCGCCUUUCUGACGGCGCGCGCCCGCCAGAGGCCUUCUAACUCUGAAUGUUAGUGUCGCCUGAGUACUAUAUAACAGUUAAAAUUUUCAACAACGGAUCUCUUGGUUCUG